CAAACUCUUCCACCACUUCUUCAAUUGAUUCUCACCCUUGUGUUGAAACUUUCCAAAGGCUUUGUGGGUUUAAGAAGGUGCAGAGAAUUCUUUGCCAAAUAAGAAGAUAAAAAUAAAUUCUUUGUUGAAAUUGAUAUCGAAUUCAGAGAUUUCCAAACUGAAAAGGGUCUUCUUCUCAAUAACCAUAGCUGCCUGAGAGAACCCAUGUUGCUGAUUCCUUGGUUAAGAGGAGCAAGGACGCAUGAUUUUACGAAGUCAGAAGCAGAAGAAGAGAUUGGGUCAAUGGCUGAAUAGAGACGAAGGAAUACGGGCUCUGUUCAAGCAAAGAUAGCCUGUGGACUUGCCAAAAUGCUCCAACAGCUUUCUUACCAAAUUUGAGCAAUCAAUAUGAGGGAAUUGCAUAUAUUGGUACAGAGUAUUGUGGAAGAAGAUGGUUAUGCAUUGGAAGCCGCUGGUUGUGACAGAUGCAGGCUCUGUCUUGUUUGAAAGAAUUGAAGCUGAAGCUUUCCAACCCACAAAGCCUUUUGCUUAAUUUUCCAUCUCCGGAAUUUAGAUGUCCUCUUUCUGGACAACUCAUGAUUGACCCUGUUGUCAUAGCCUCUAGCCAGGCUGUCAAAGGCAUGAUAGGUGCAAUUGUUGAUCACAAUAUCCGCAUAGGUAAAGAAGAGAUAGUAGCAAUGGACAUGGCCGUUGAAGAUGUCUACAACCAGACAAAACAAAAGGUGAUUCUUUGUUGGAAAUUUUUUAAAAUUUGUAUGUUGUACAUACAUGUAAUUAAUGUAUAUUCAUGUUUUUUGGUACAUGUAUAGUAUUGUGAAUAUUUCUACUAUGUACAUUCAUUUAUGAAUGUGUUCAUGUAUAUGAGAAUUCUUGAAUGAAAGGAUAGAUUCAUAUUUUGAUCU